rnacentral:rRNA from 1 species
UAGUGGCGAACGGGUGAGUAACACGUGGGCAAUCUGCCCUUCACUCUGGGACAAGCCCUGGAAACGGGGUCUAAUACCGGAUAACACUUCCACUCGCAUGGGUGGGGGUUAAAAGCUCCGGCGGUGAAGGAUGAGCCCGCGGCCUAUCAGCUUGUUGGUGAGGUAACGGCUCACCAAGGCGACGACGGGUAGCCGGCCUGAGAGGGCGACCGGCCACACUGGGACUGAGACACGGCCCAGACUCCUACGGGAGGCAGCAGUGGGGAAUAUUGCACAAUGGGCGAAAGCCUGAUGCAGCGACGCCGCGUGAGGGAUGACGGCCUUCGGGUUGUAAACCUCUUUCAGCAGGGAAGAAGCGAAAGUGACGGUACCUGCAGAAGAAGCGCCGGCUAACUACGUGCCAGCAGCCGCGGUAAUACGUAGGGCGCAAGCGUUGUCCGGAAUUAUUGGGCGUAAAGAGCUCGUAGGCGGCUUGUCACGUCGGGUGUGAAAGCCCGGGGCUUAACCCCGGGUCUGCAUUCGAUACGGGCUAGCUAGAGUGUGGUAGGGGAGAUCGGAAUUCCU